GAAAAAUAGGCAGUAGCUGGAAUUGAAUUUUCCCUGCAGGUUGCAGCUGGAGCCUCAAUUACCUAAUUAGGUGGAAUUAUGUGACAUCAAGGCAUCAAUAAAGCAAUGUAAAUGGGUGAAAGUCAAAGAUAAAUGAUACUGCAAGUCAUGAUGCCCCAUCUAGAGGAGGAAUGUCCAAUUAUAAACUGGUCAAGAAUUGAUCCUAAGCAGAGAGCUACAUGUGUUCAAAACCUAGCAUGUUAGAGUUUGGAAAUUAUAUAGUGAUUUACAUUGUUGUGUAGAGUUAAUUUAGCAAUAGGUUAAGUUCAAAGUAUAAACCAUUGGAGCCCAGAAAUUGUGAACCAGCUCUUAGACAGUGAUGGAGGCACACAGAUUUCUAUAUGUAGUUGAAAUGACUGAAUCAGUGUCCACAUUAUGAGUCAGAAGAAACACAUUCUUUUCAUUGCUCUGGUUGAUCUAUUAGCUAAUUAUUUGAUUGUUGUUUGGAUUUGCCUUGACACAGUAACUUGCAUCCAGUUUAAUCCUGUUGAUGAUAGAUACUUCAUCAGUGGAUCCUUAGAUGCUAAGGUUCACAUAUGGAGCAUUCCUGAUCGUCAAGUUGUCGAUUGGAAUGAUUUGCAUGAGAUGGUCACUGCUGCUUGCUAUACACCAGAUGGUCAGGUUGGCCAUAUCUAGACAGUGCCUCUGAUUCACUUUUGCUCCAUCUUACUGUCCGUAUGCCUUGUUUCAGACUCCAGAAGGUUCACUGUUGGAUAUUAUACGCAAUGCCUAUGAUCUUCUUUCUCACUGUGAUAUAAAAUUCCUAAGAUUGAAGGUAAUGACAAAUAUGUUGAUUCUGGACCCCCAUAUCUCAUCUUCUUUCAUCCUGCUUUGGGCCCACUGUAGGAAGUCACCAGACAAAAAAAUAAGGUUCAAGAGCUUCACAAGCCUUCUACAGAAUAAGGGUCAACGUCUAUCAAAGAUGAUGCAAUUGUUCAUGCAUUUAGUCUAGAACGGCAUGGUAGGUUCCAGGUCUGAGAUGUACGCCUUAUAAUGGACCGCAAUUCAAGUCAUUCCAAGAGAGUUGGGUAAGUUCAAUUUUUCCUUCCAUAGCCAAAAAAUUAUCUCAAUUUAAUUUUUUAUUAUGCUAUAACUAUUUUAAUUCUAUCAUUAGUGGAGGUUUGUCAUCUCGUAAUGAGGUCAAAGAUAGAAGUCUACACUUCUUUUAACAACUAAGGCUGUUAUCAACAAGUGAAGAUGACAGAGCAAAAGGCACACUAAUCAUAUUGAAAAAGUCUACAUGCUAAAUUGACAAGUAAUUAUGGGCUAACAAAAUUGCAGUAAGGCCAAGUCCAAUGCUUUGUAAGAUAGAUGAUGACCCCCUGCCCUUCUCUUUCACCCUCCUCCCCCACACAAUGUAAACUCGCCAAGUUGUUUUUUUUGGUUUUGGGGAUGGGCUUCAUGAAAUUGCAUUGGUUAAAAUUUGGUUUCGGUAAUGGAGAAAUGUUUUAAACAUUGCGUAGCUAUUAAUGGAUUUGUAUUAUUCUAGUGAUUUUAAAAUAUUAAGGGUGAAUAUUGUGGAAAAAAACUGAAGGACAUUUUUUUUUUUUGGUGAAGGAUGGUAUUUGCUUUGAUGUCUCAUAUUUCAUUUAUUAGUGGAAGUUGUUUACUUUCCCUAGUGCUUCCACGCAUUAAUAGAUAUUUGAUCAAUAACAAUUAGAGAGUGUUUGAUUGUACGA